rnacentral:rRNA from 1 species
UACGAAGGGGGCUAGCGUUGUUCGGAAUCACUGGGCGUAAAGGGCGCGUAGGCGGCCGAUAAAGUCGGGGGUGAAAGCCUGUGGCUCAACCGCAGAAUUGCCUUCGAUACUGUUUGGCUUGAGACCGGAAGAGGUAAGUGGAACUGCGAGUGUAGAGGUGAAAUUCGUAGAUAUUCGCAAGAACACCAGUGGCGAAGGCGGCUUACUGGUCCGGUUCUGACGCUGAGGCGCGAAAGCGUGGGGAGCAAACAGG